rnacentral:rRNA from 1 species
GGAAACGAUUGAAGUCAGUCAUACCGACGAGAAAUCAGCUUUUCGAGUGCGAACUUGUGGGCGUGCGUGAGUCUUUAACGGGCCUCGCUGUUUGCAAUGUUUGUGCUUCUUGGGUGUACUUUUUCGUAUGGUAGGCCAACGUCAGUUUCGAUUACCGUAAAAUGAUCGGAGGAAUGUAGCUUCGAUCUCGUAUUGAAGUGUUAUAGCCUCUGGUAGAUGCGGUGAUCGAAACUGAGGAUUGCAAUGGAUACCCUCAUGGGCUAUCCGUCUGGCCUCUGAUUUGUCACUUUGGUGCUGAAAGCGUGCUUACGGUAUUUAAGUUGACGGUCAACAGGUUAGAACGUGAUUACAUUCGUUAAGGAUGUUGACGAAUCACUAGCCCCCUAAAAAAAA